UACAGAGGGUGCGAGCGUUGUCCGGAAUCACUGGGCGUAAAGGGCGCGUAGGUGGCGGCAUAAGGCCGUGGUGAAAGUCUGGGGCUCAACCCCAGAUCGGCCGCGGCGACUGUGUUGCUAGGGCACCGUAGAGGCAGAUGGAAUUCCGGGUGUAGCGGUGGAAUGCGUAGAGAUCCGGAAGAACACCAACGGCGAAGGCAGCUCGCUGGGACGGUACUGACGCUGAGGCGCGAAAGCGUGGGGAGCGAACAGG
rnacentral:rRNA from 1 species